GGAAGUACCUGAAGUUGAGGUGUUAAUUCUAAAUCCUGGGUCAAAAACUUACAAAUUGCCCCAGUUCGUGAAGAGAAUGAACAGAUUGAAAGCUCUGAUUGUCAGGAAUUACAGGUCCUUUCCAACUGAAUUGACAAGUGAUUAUCAACUAAUCAACUGUUUGUCAAGGCUAGAAAGAAUCAGUCUUGAGCGAAUUUCAAUUUCUUCAUUUAGUGACCACAACCUGAAACCACUGUUACAUCUUAAGAAGCUAUCGUUCUUUAUGUGCAAACUUGAUAGAGCUUUCACGAACUGCUCAACCCAGAUCUCAUCCAUGUUGCCUAACUUACUUGAGAUUUCCAUAGAUUUUUGCAACGAUUUGGUGGCUCUCCCUGUUGGACUAUGUGAAAUUA
rnacentral:misc_RNA from 1 species